GCCUACUGGUUUUCUAAAGGUAGAUCAGAGUCUCUCUGUUUCGGUCUCCCUUUUUGACCCAGGUUUUGUUUUAUUGAUAGCUCAUAUGCAGAUGAAGCUUAAAGGACCUAAUUUUGCCAUAUCUUCAGAUUUCAGUUCUGUGAGCCAGCAGAAGAGCCUCCCUGUGCCAAAAGUGCUGCUCUUCCUUGCUUAGGUUUAGGGGUCAGUGAAGCACUUUUUUUCAUUUACUUUCUAUCUGCAGUGAGGGAAGCUGUGUCACAUUUUAUCACCUCUUUGAGGAACCUGACUGCUGCAGUAGUCAAGACCAGGAGCUUAGGCAGGGAGCACUUACCCUUCAACUCUUCCACAAGGCACCUGUUUCUUCAUACCUCUACACCUGUUUUUCUCUUGCUACUGUAACAAUCAGGAGCAGAAAGUGUGUGCAAAGAAUAGCUCUGCUGUAUGUUUUCUGAUCUUUAGUUUCCCCUGUGUCUCCCAUCCACUCCUGUGGUACUGGAACCUAGGUGCACUGUUCUGAAAUUGCUGUAAUGCAUGCAAAACAACUUGAUGCAUGUGCUGUCUAAAAGGAAGACAAACACUGGUUCUGCAUCCUGCUCACACACAGAGCUCUUGGUCAGAAGUUGUGCCUUUUGGUUUUUACUGAUCUCAAUCCUUCUGUCAGAUUCUUCUCUGCUCAGCAGAAGAAAAUAUGAUUGUGUAUGCUGUUCCUCACCUGCUGUCCAGGUGUUCCACCUUCCCCAAUCCUCUGCUGUCCCUCUCGCCACUGCAUCUUUGCUGCACCAUGUUCUUCUCUGUUCACACUCCCAUUAUCAGUGCUUGGCCUUUCCUUUUACUCAUCCUCAAGCACCAUUAAUGCUUCUCCUUGGCUUCCUAGUUGUCUAUUUCCCUUGCCAUUUGGCUUAAUGUCUUUGACUUUGCACUUGGUGUCCUUCCCUAUCACACAUCCCUUCCUGUCCCUGCAGCUAGAGUAGGCUGUCACCAUUUGUUCUCUUUCCCUGUAAAUCAUUCUUGCUUUCUUCCUUCCCUCCCUCCCACCUUAAAUUAUCUCAUAGCAUCUGUGCUACCUUUGCUGAGGCCAGGUCUUCACCUAGACACUAGGCCCUUUUUUUUUUUUCCAGGGCUGAGUGAAGAUUGAGCUGCCUCUGUCCAGACCAUGUCUAACCUUGUCCUGUUAAGAACUGUCUUUGGAAACAAAUUGUUGGUGCGGGGAACAGCAGCUGUCCAAUUGUAUCUGCAUUCUGGUUCCAGUUCACACUUUUUGCCUGCCCUCUGCAACCCUGUCUCUGGCCUCCUCUGAACCAGGCUUGCACUGGGGCUCUUUAAGUAUCUUGAGCCUAGUUUGCCUUUCCAGCCACAUCCACAUCUGUUUCCAAGCUCUGUUGUGCAGCGAGGGGUGGGUAAUAGGUGCUGAGCAUUUUAGGUAAGGCAGUGCAGGAUGUUUGGAGGUCUCUAAUCCAACCCCUGCUCACAAGAGGCCUGACUUGAAUGGUAGAUCUUAGCUGAGGACCUUAUAAAUGAUAGUGCUCUGCAAUUGUUGUACUUAAUGUACUUUCCCUUCUUGUACUUUCCCCAGGAUACAGAAUAGUGGCAGGGCCUAUCACCAGUAAAAGUAUGUGAUGGAUCCCAGCAGGCCCUUCUUUGUUCUUUACCAAAUCCAUGGGCGUUACAGGACACAAACUAGAUCUUUCAUCAGGCCCUAAGCAUGUGGUCAAAGGGGAUGGUUCAGUACAUAUUCUUCCACUCAUGGUUCUUGCUAUGUUUCUGCUAUAUUUAUUCCUUCAGUGUUAUAUUUAUUUGCUGUUUAAGGCCCCAAGAAGUCUUAGAAUCUCUUGUCUCUUGGUGUUGGCCUUACUCAACACCCGGCUGGGAGAUACCAGCAAAUGAAAAUUUGUGCUUUGAGAUUCUUAUACCUGUAGCCACAGUGUUCCUCAUUAGCUUCCAUACUCGUCAGUGAAGUGGGUGUGCUGCCACUGUAUACUCUACCACUGCAGUUUCCUCAUCUUGAGCUGUUGAGCUUCAUUAUGAUCCUGGAUUUUCUUGAGUUACAACUCCCUGAUCUCUUGUUUUGGGUCCCAGGCUCCUUCCUCUUUUGCCUGUGUGAGCUGAAGUCUUUCUAGUCUGGCAGGGGCUUCAGACCAGUCCUUCUCUAGAGGAGUGCUCUGGGGGUAGUGACCUGAAGCGGAUAUUCAUGGGAAGAGUGUAAGGGCAAGCAUAUAGUGAGUACUCUUGUAUUCUCUAGGAAUCUGCUGCUUUAAAGGCUGCCUGACCCAGAAGUUGCAUCAGUAUGCUUGUUUAAUAGCCUUUGGUAAAUUUGGUCUUUACGAUUUUUAAACCAGGUGGUGCAUUUGGCCUCUAAAAUGUCUUGUGGACACACAGAAGAAUUGCGUUUAGAUAUCUAAAGUGUUGUCUUUUAAGCCUGGUACAUCUUCUUUUGUGAUCUCCUACUUCUGGUACUGUAGGACAUAGCAAAUAAUAUGCUUCUCAUAUGGUCCGUGCCUCCCCAGGGGGAGCCCUUUCCCUACUUCUGUACCCCAUGCUUCUGUAUCUCUUCUACUUUUACUGUAUUAUUGCCCAUAUUUCCUUCAUGCCCUAGCCUGCCUCUUUUUCCUCCUCGUUAGUUGGUCCUUGAAUCUCAGAAAUCUUUUGGCAGGCCAGUCUGCUACUGAGGAAGGACUGAAAGCAUCACAGCAGCUCUUCCACCUGCAGCGGCAAAGAAGAAACAGAAACAGGCCUGCAAGACAGACCACUUUGUCAGAGCAGACUCUGGCAACUUCUCCAUAGGGUAGUUCCUUUCUGCGUAGGCAUGUUUCCUUCCUCUCACAAAAGAUGAGAAACCUUUUGAUGGUCACCAUUAUACUUAGUAUGACAAAGCAUUGUCUGGUAUUUUCUGAUGCUUUUGGAUGCCUGAUGUGAAACCUUAAAACUCUGUAACUGUCUAUGACUUUAGGAAGAGUUGUAGGGUAUAGAGAUCCUCUGAAAAUCAGUGCUGGAUGGGUAGGGUUUCUUGAAACUUUUCCAAUUUCUCUGUUGCAUUUCUUGGGCAGAAGGUGACACCUAGUGUUGAGUCGAGGGCAGGUCAGUCUGUCACACUCUUAAUUGGACCAGGCAACUAAACGGUUUAGGAGCACAACCUGCUAAUAAAACAUGAGAGGAACAAAAUGCUGGAUGCAUUUUUCUGAACGUGUGACACUUGUGAGCUGGAGAGGUUUUCCCAGCCAAAUGUGGUGCUGUGAAGCCAGGACCUUUUGAGGAUCCUUGACUUUUUUUUUUGUUUGGUUGGGGGUUUUUUUGUUUGGUUUUGGGGUUUUUUUCUUCCCCUGGUAGUAAGCGCCUAAUUAGACUGGGCCUUUGUGUUUGUGGAGUCCAGCUUAGCAACCAUGCCAUGGAAACCCAUUUGCACACUUGUUAAACACGGGGACAGAAAGCAACCCAGUUGAGUUUCUGACAUUUUGAACUAAAACAAUUAUUAAUGGAUAGUCUGUUGCCUUUUCCUUUGUCUGGGAAGGGGAGACUUUGGGAAGGAAAUAAUAGUUAGAAAAGCUCUUCCCUUUCCUUUCUGGCUUCUGUGUCUUGUCAAGUGAGACUUAGAAGGUUUUUGUCAGUCUGUAUUUGCUAUGCCUCUCUUUCCAGCACAUCUUUUGUGGGCCUCCCUCCCAGUGCUGUGAGUGGAUAUGCAGCACUCAUCCACUAGGAUGCCAUCAUCCCACUUCUAGUCUUUGCUGAAAAUGUAGUGUUGUUCAGUCCACUUCAUUGAGCACUUGCAAUUGGGGAGUGGCAAACAAAGAGGGAAAAGAAGGGGAGUUUGUGUGAGAUACAGGAGGCAUUUUUUUUUCCCCUCAAGGUUUUGGCAGUGAUUGCAUUAAUUGGUGGGUGGGCUGUUCAUAGCUUGGGCUUCUGUGGUCUAGUUGCAUGUUCCUGUGUUGCAUUUUUGGGGGCUGUUUUAUUUGAGAAAUGGAAGUCUUAGAGCCAAAAGUGAGAAAGAGACUCUUUGUGAUGAAGAAUUACUUUACCAGUCCUAACACCUACUAAAAGAGUAGAAAUUAAAAAACAAAACCAAAACAAAACACAAAAACCCCUCCAGAACAAAGAAAUCAGUGUCCUGCUGCCUUGAGGUCAAAACUACUAGACAAAAUAGCAAUCAGAAACUGGGGAGGUGCAGUUCAUGUGAUGUUUGUUACUUUAAAAUAAGGGGUUUAAAAAAAAUAAGGAAUAAAAAGAUGAGUAAUUACUGAGAUACAAACUAAGGUAUCCACUGUGGUGGAGAGGGUGGGAACACAAGAAGAUAUGCAGGGGGAUGGAGUUUGUUAAUUUGAUUUUUCUACUAUUUUAAGUUUUCUACCAUUGUGAAGUGGGUGCAUACGUGACAUCCACAGCUUUAAGUGAAACUGUUUUAUCGCCCUGCAAUCUAGUGGAAAAUAUACUCCAACAGCGCAAUGAUGAUGAAGCCAACCACAGAGGAAAUAAAAGUAAAUAAAUACAUAAGACUCUUGAUGUAUUUGGAAAUGAUUCUAUGGGAGAACAAUAACAAAAAAAAUCCCUCACUUUUAAGUCUCAAAAAAAAAAGAAAACCAGUUUUAUGAAAAAGAUAAAAAUAUUUUAUUCUGAUUGGGAGCAAAAAUUACUAAGUCUUAAUUUGUUCAAAUGUUUUUUGCAUAAUGUAUUUCUGCACAUUUUUCAGAGACUCUCACACUGUCUUUUUCAGAUCUUGAGAUACUGCUCUAUCAGUAGGAACCCGGUGUGGGAAACAUAAUUUCCUGUAAGAAAAAACAGAACACAAAACUGAAACACAAAAAACCGCACCCCCAAGCCAUAAAUAUUACCAAUCUCAAACUCCUAGCCUUGCCCUGUGGUAUUCUGCUUUGUUCAGUGGCUUACUUCCUUGUGCGUAUGCUUUCCAUAUACGUGAGAUGAGCAACACUGAAAUCCAUUUAGUUUUCAAUCCCAGUAACACUAGUAAAGGUGGUCAUUAGAGCCAGGAGCUCAUUUCUUUCUGUGAGCUUAGGAAUGUUUAUACAGAGACCCCAAGCAGGGGUCCCUGAAGUAUCCUACAGCGGGGUUCAUUGUAACAGUGACUCUGAAAGAAGCUUUGCUGGUCAAAGGUUGACAUUUGAGGUCAUUAUAUUUAAUGACAGCCUAGAGCAGUAGCUGCUCUGUAGCUGUAAGCACAGCUAUGUAUUUCUUUCUUGGGAGUUCUGGUGUAUGAAAAACUGGCUUGUAGCUUCUAUCUCCUUGGUUUGCCUCAGAGGACUGCUCACAGUGCCUGGCCAGUCUGCCCAUACCCAAGGUAUAUUUAAGACCUACUGCUACCAAGCUUGUGGGUAAUUGAUUUUCUUGCUCCAAUAACUACUAAAUCUCAUCGGAGUCCUUGUUACGAGCUUUCUCACAUCUGGUGGUAAGGGAGGGAAUGCUUUCCUCUGAGGGUGGAUCAGCACCUGGAAAGGCUUGGAGAUGUUCAGGAGUCACCUGGGCAAAGGGCUGAGCAGCCCCAGGUAGGUUUAGAUUCAGCCCAGCUAUGAGGAGGGGAGUUGUACUCAAGACCUCCAGAGGUCCCUUCCCACCUAUAUCUUUCUGUGAAGCUAAACAGCUAAUCAUUUGCUUUCACUGGCAGGGCAGCUUGUUCAUUCUUUUACACUGUUAUCAUUCAUCAGACUGUUGCUUGAUUUCAAAAUUCAGACACGGCUAAGGCAAAAUAAGCCUUUAAAAGGAGGUCUCUUCUUUUUACUGCUGUGGGUAUUUGGAGGAUGUAGAUUGCUCUUGAACUAAUGAAGAUUCCAUUGUUUCCUCCCACUGUAGUACAGCAUGCCAGCCAAUUAAUGUGUCUGAAAAUAUAUUACAGAGUAAACCUGCAAUAUGAAAACAAGCAAAAAUACUGCCACUGUAGCUCUGCCAGAGCCUCCUUGCCCAGCUUUACCAGCUCUGCAUCCCUGAGGCUGCUCAAAUGGCUAUUUAGGUGAGAAGGGGUAAAGUGAAUUUAAAAAAAACUACUUGAAGGCCACCUCUGUCACCUGAAUAUCUCACACAGAAACCCUGUAGAAAACUGACGUUGUGUAUUAUAUGUGCUUCCCAGGUAAGCAAAAACGUAAACUGCAGCAAGCAAAAAAAUUCUACAGCCCACGCAUUACAAAAUACUUCGAUAUGUUUUUAUUACUGUGAUUAAGCUGGCUUCUGGAGAAGAAAGACAAAUAAGAAUCAAAGCUCUAACAUUUAUCAAGAUGCUCGCUCGUCAAUGGACUUUUGAACCAGAGCAACAAGAUGACUGGUUGUAGGAAGAUUAAAACCAAAAUGAAGUAGUUAGUGAUUUUUGACCCCUGAGGGUAAUAUUGGCCAUUUCUCAGUUCUGUUAACUGGGGUGUUUCACAAGACUUCUGUGCAAGCUAUAAAUAUAGGCAAUUGAGCUGCCUCUCACACACAGCAGCACUGGACUGAAGGAAGUGCCAUCAACUCUCCCCAUCCAAGAAGCUAAUAUCAAGGUUGUCACCCAGCUCCUACAGCAAGAAAUCCGAACUACAGAAGUCCUACUGAGAUGGGAAAAAUAAUUGUUUAUGAGCAUGCCAACUUCCAGGGUUACUCCAAAGAAUUCACUGGUGACAUUGCCAAUCUAAAAGAUGUAGAUUGGAAUGAUUGUGUCUCCUCAGUAAAAGUAAUUGGCCAGCCUUGGGUGGCUUAUGAGCACCACAACUACACAGGCCAGUUACUGGUAUUUGAGGAGGGAGAACAUGGCUUUGUUGGUCAGCAGAUGAAUGAUAAGAUCACUUCUCUGAAGGUCAUCACUGAAAAUCUGCACAAUCCCCAAAUCACUCUCUAUGAACACGCCCAUUAUCAAGGGAAGAGCAGGGUGAUAAAAGAACCAACCAAUCUGGGUAGGGGACAUGACAAUGACACCAUAUCUUCUCACAAAGUCCAGAGAGGUGCCUGGCUGUUGUGUGAACACAGUGAUGGCAGUGGUUUUUGUUACAUUGCGCGAGAACAUGAACACCUUCCAGAUUACAAUGCAAUCAAUUUCAAUGACAAGCUUUCAUUUCUGCGUCCCCUUCUUCCUGGUAGGGAUUGUGGUUGUUAGACUGCAAAUCCUGCAAUCCUGAGGGAACGUUGCACCUGCAGCUAGCAUUCCAAUGUCCUGUACUAUGUAAUGUAAAAAAGCAUUGCAUGUUGCUUCUGCUGCUAGAUGCAUAAACAAAAUGUGAGCAUAUAACCAGCAUCACUCACUUUGUAAUUUGUUUUACAACACUCCUGCUUUACCAUGGCCUCUGCCAUUUUGUGUAUUUCAUUUAGUGUUAUUGCCAUUAAAGAAGCUAUUGAAAGCAACAA